rnacentral:rRNA from 1 species
ACGAGUAGCAAUACUAGUGGCGCACGGGUGAGGAAUACAUAGAUAAUCUGCCUUCGAGUCGGGGAUAACCAGUCGAAAGAUUGGCUAAUACCGGAUAAGACCACAAGAUCUGCGGAUCUAGGGGUUAAAGGUUUUUCGCUUGAAGAUGAGUCUAUGCGAGAUUAGCUAGUUGGUGAGGUAAUGGCUCACCAAGGCGACGAUCUCUAACUGGUCUUAGAGGAUGAUCAGUCACACUGGAACUGAGACACGGUCCAGACUCCUACGGGAGGCAGCAGUAGGGAAUAUUGCGCAAUGGGGGAAACCCUGACGCAGCGACGCCGCGUGAGUGAUGAAGGCCUUCGGGUCGUAAAGCUCUGUCGUAUGGGAAUAACACAAUGAAUGUACCAUGCAAGAAAGGAUCGGCUAACUUCGUGCCAGCAGCCGCGGUAAGACGAGGGAUCCUAGCGUUGUUCGGAAUCAUUGGGCGUAAAGCGGGUGUAGGCGGGCUUCUAAGUCAGAUGUGAAAUCCCAGGGCUCAACCCUGGAAGUGCAUUUGAUACUGGAAGUCUUGAGUGUGGUAGAGGUUACUGGAAUUGUUGGUGUAGUGGUGAAAUACGUAGAUAUCAACAGGAAUACCGGAGGCGAAGGCGAGUAACUGGGCCAACACUGACGCUGAGACCCGAAAGCGUGGGGAUCAAACAGGAUUAGAUACCCUGGUAGUCCACGCCAUAAACGAUGGAUACUUGUUGUUAGAGGUA